GAUCUAUCUAGCUCCUUGCAAAAGGGGAAGCAGUCUGUGCUCUGAGACCUGCGUUUCUCUUCCAGGAGCUGAUGGAAGAAGGUACUUGUCCUGGUCAAAGGAGCCACUCAGCCUGCUUGGUUGCCCCCAGACCCUUUUUGGGGAAGAUCAGAACCUAAACUUUUGUUCUCGAACAGGUCACAGAGAGAAUUAUUUUCCUUGGUCUCACUGAUUGAUUUUCAUUUUGAUCCUUUUGGCUGAGACCCUGCAAAGCCUGCACCCCUCGGCCACAUUGCACCACUCCGAGUGACCUGGUCCUGCCUGUGUGCGUGGGAGCCCUGCAGGAGCUGGUGCCACACUGCGCUCAUUGUCGUCUGGAAUUGCAGCUUGGAAUGGCCUGGUGGCUUCGGCCCUUCAGAGCCCAGCUGGUGCUGGGGUGCUGGGCUGCCUGCCGAGAUAGGAUCCCAGGCAGGAGAAGAAAAGGCCAAAGAAACUUCAAGACACGCUGCCUCAGUCCAUGCAGUGAGCUGUGUUUUGCAGUUUUCAGAUACUCUUAAAUAAAAGUAAAAGUGCU